UUGGGAAUUUUGGACAAUGGGGGAAACCCUGAUCCAGCCAUCCCGCGUGUGCGAUGAAGGCCUUCGGGUUGUAAAGCACUUUUGGCAGGAAAGAAACGUCAUGGGUUAAUACCCCGUGAAACUGACGGUACCUGCAGAAUAAGCACCGGCUAACUACGUUCCAGCAGCCGCGGUAAUACGUAGGGUGCAAGCGUUAAUCGGAAUUACUGGGCGUAAAGCGUGCGCAGGCGGUUCGGAAAGAAAGAUGUGAAAUCCCAGAGCUCAACUUUGGAACUGCAUUUUUAACUACCGGGCUAGAGUGUGUCAGAGGGAGGUGGAAUUCCGCGUGUAGCAGUGAAAUGCGUAGAUAUGCGGAGGAACACCGAUGGCGAAGGCAGCCUCCUGGGAUAACACUGACGCUCAUGCACGAAAGCGUGGGGAGCAAACAGG
rnacentral:rRNA from 1 species